rnacentral:rRNA from 1 species
AACGUAGGUACCGAGCGUUAUCCGGAUUCACUGGGCGUAAAGCGCGUGCAGGUGGUUUGGUAAGUCGGGCAUGAAAACUCUUGGCUCAACUAAGAGGCGCUGUCCGAUACUGCUGAACUUGAGGGUGUGAGAGGGAGGUGGAAUUCCGCAUGUAGUGGUGAAAUGCGUAGAUAUGCGGAGGAACACCAGUGGCGAAGGCGGCCUCCUGGCACACUCCCGACACUCAUACGCGAAAGCUAGGGGAGCGAACGGG